AACGACGCUCAUGCUCGAAGGCGCGGGUAUCAAACAGGAUUAGAUACCCUGGUAGUCCGCGCGGUAAACGAUGAACACUCGGGAUUUGCCUUUUGAGGGUGAGUCCCCCAGCGAAAGCGUUAAGUGUUCCACCUGGGGAGUACGCCGGCAACGGUGAAACUCAAAGGAAUUGACGGGGGCCCGCACAAGCGGAGGAACAUGUGGUUUAAUUCGAUGAUACGCGAGGAACCUUACCCGGGCUUGAAAUGUGCAUGACAGCGGAGAGAGACCUCCGCUUCCUUCGGGCAUGCAUGUAGGUGCUGCAUGGUUGUCGUCAGCUCGUGCCGUGAGGUGUCGGCUUAAGUGCCAUAACGAGCGCAACCCUUUCCGCCGGUUGCCACCGCGUCGUGGCGGGCACUCCGGCGGCACUGCCGCCGCAAGGCGUGAGGAAGGCGGGGAUGACGUCAAAUCAGCACGGCCCUUACGUCCGGGGCCACACACGUGUUACAAUGGGGGGCACAGCGAGCUGGACCAGGGCGACCUGGUUCGAAUCAUGAAAUCCCCUCCCAGUUCGGACUGGAGUCUGCAACCCGACUCCACGAAGCCGGAUUCGCUAGUAAU
rnacentral:rRNA from 1 species